rnacentral:rRNA from 1 species
AGUGAACGCUGGCGGUAGGCCUAACACAUGCAAGUCGAACGGCAGCACAGUAAGAGCUUGCUCUUACGGGUGGCGAGUGGCGGACGGGUGAGGAAUACAUCGGAAUCUACUUUUUCGUGGGGGAUAACGUAGGGAAACUUACGCUAAUACCGCAUACGACCUACGGGUGAAAGCAGGGGAUCUUCGGACCUUGCGCGAUUGAAUGAGCCGAUGUCGGAUUAGCUAGUUGGCGGGGUAAAGGCCCACCAAGGCGACGAUCCGUAGCUGGUCUGAGAGGAUGAUCAGCCACACUGGAACUGAGACACGGUCCAGACUCCUACGGGAGGCAGCAGUGGGGAAUAUUGGACAAUGGGCGCAAGCCUGAUCCAGCCAUACCGCGUGGGUGAAGAAGGCCUUCGGGUUGUAAAGCCCUUUUGUUGGGAAAGAAAAGAAGCAUGUUAAUACCCCGCUGUUCUGACGGUACCCAAAGAAUAAGCAACGGCUAACUUCGUG